UUGGCUCAAAUACGUUGCGGAACAGCAACGACACGUGAAGGAUCUUGUGUUGUGUAUUCCUUCACGUGUCGUUGCUGUUCCGCAACGUAUUUGAGCCAA
rnacentral:miRNA from 1 species